rnacentral:rRNA from 1 species
UGGAAGUAAAAGUCGUAACAAGGUCUCCGUUGGUGAACCAGCGGAGGGAUCAUUACCGAGUUUACAACUCCCAAACCCAAUGUGAACGUUACCAAACUGUUGCCUCGGCGGGAUCUCUGCCCCGGGUGCGUCGCAGCCCCGGACCAAGGCGCCCGCCGGAGGACCAACCAAAACUCUUAUUGUAUACCCCCUCGCGGGUUUUUUUUAUAAUCUGAGCCUUCUCGGCGCCUCUCGUAGGCGUUUCGAAAAUGAAUCAAAACUUUCAACAACGGAUCUCUUGGUUCUGGCAUCGAUGAAGAACGCAGCGAAAUGCGAUAAGUAAUGUGAAUUGCAGAAUUCAGUGAAUCAUCGAAUCUUUGAACGCACAUUGCGCCCGCCAGUAUUCUGGCGGGCAUGCCUGUCCGAGCGUCAUUUCAACCCUCGAACCCCUCCGGGGGGUCGGCGUUGGGGAUCGGCCCUCCCUUAGCGGGGUGGCCGUCUCCGAAAUACAGUGGCGGUCUCGCCGCAGCCUCUCCUGCGCAGUAGUUUGCACACUCGCAUCGGGAGCGCGGCGCGUCCACAGCCGUUAAACACCCAACUUCUGAAAUGUUGACCUCGGAUCAGGUAGGAAUACCCGCUGAACUUAAGCAUAUCAAUAAGCGGAGGA